AGUGAACGCUGGCGGUAGGCCUAACACAUGCAAGUCGAACGGCAGCACAGUAAGAGCUUGCUCUUACGGGUGGCGAGUGGCGGACGGGUGAGGAAUACAUCGGAAUCUACUUUUUCGUGGGGGAUAAAGUAGGGAAACUUACGCUAAUACCGCAUACGACCUACGGGUGAAAGCAGGGGAUCUUCGGACCUUGCGCGAUUGAAUGAGCCGAUGUCGGAUUAGCUAGUUGGCGGGGUAAAGGCCCACCAAGGCGACGAUCCGUAGCUGGUCUGAGAGGAUGAUCAGCCACACUGGAACUGAGACACGGUCCAGACUCCUACGGGAGGCAGCAGUGGGGAAUAUUGGACAAUGGGCGCAAGCCUGAUCCAGCCAUACCGCGUGGGUGAAGAAGGCCUUCGGGUUGUAAAGCCCUUUUGUUGGGAAAGAAAAGCAGCAGGUUAAUACCCCGCUGUUCUGACGUUACCCAAAGAAUAAGCACCGGCUAACUUCGUG
rnacentral:rRNA from 1 species